rnacentral:rRNA from 1 species
GAUGAACGCUGGCGGCGUGCCUAAUACAUGCAAGUCGAGCGAACAGACGAGGAGCUUGCUCCUCUGACGUUAGCGGCGGACGGGUGAGUAACACGUGGAUAACCUACCUAUAAGACUGGGAUAACUUCGGGAAACCGGAGCUAAUACCGGAUAAUAUAUUGAACCGCAUGGUUCAAUAGUGAAAGACGGUUUUGCUGUCACUUAUAGAUGGAUCCGCGCCGCAUUAGCUAGUUGGGAAGGUAACGGCUUACCAAGGCAACGACGCGUAGCCGACCUGAGAGGGUGAUCGGCCACACUGGAACUGAGACACGGUCCAGACUCCUACGGGAGGCAGCAGUAGGGAAUCUUCCGCAAUGGGCGAAAGCCUGACGGAGCAACGCCGCGUGAGUGAUGAAGGUCUUCGGAUCGUAAAACUCUGUUAUUAGGGAAGAACAAAUGUGUAAGUAACUAUGCACGUCUUGACGGUACCUAAUCAGAAAGCCACGGCUAACUACGUG